UGCUGAUAUGGGCAUACUCCCGUCCAAC
rnacentral:piRNA from 1 species